rnacentral:rRNA from 1 species
UACGUAGGGAGCAAGCGUUGUCCGGAAUCAUUGGGCGUAAAGCGCGCGUAGGUGGCUUCGUAAGUCCGUUGUGAAAGUCAAAGGCUCAACCUUUGAAAGCCGAUGGAUACUGUGAAGCUAGAGUACGGAAGAGGCGAGUGGAAUUCCCGGUGUAGUGGUGAAAUGCGUAGAUAUCGGGAGGAACACCAGUGGCGAAGGCGACUUCCUGGCCUGUUCUUGACGCUGAGGCGCGAAAGCUAGGGGAGCAAACGGG